AUGUCAUCAGUGGGAGCAUUUAUGGAGCUGAGUGACGGACGUCGGGUGUCGGAUUAUUGUCGUUCCCACAAGUGCCUGUCUCGCCGCCUGCCCGCCUGCCUGUUUCUUUGUGUGCUGGCUCAUCUUUGGAUCUGUGACAGAGACUUACCUGGCGCUGGCCUGCGAUCGCUGUCAUUCCUGUAUUCUGGUGUUUCAAGUAGCUCUGGUUCGCCACCAAUCUUCCUGCAUACCUCGGCUCCGUUUUCAUCCCCUCCGCUCUGUUUAUUCGCACAUUUACCCGGCCAUUGUAUAUAGCCCCGUCCCCCUGUAAAUAUUUCCUGACCUCUGUUAAUAAAUCUGCUUCACCGCUAUUCUGUGCCCGUGUGUGUUUCUGCCACUGAAUCCACCCGUUUAUAUGUACCUAACAUAAACACCUGGAUGGCCGCUAACUUUCUGCUUCUUACAGUUUUUCUCAAAUGCUAAAACACAAACGCCAAACCUCUAAACCAAAUGACCAGUUGUCUAAACACAUUUACUAAAUCUAGCCAUCAUUUGCCAAUAUCAUAAACACAUGUCACAUGAAGACACAAUUCACAGAACACAAUCCUCCAUCCUGUCAUAAAUCUAACCACAUUUUGCCUUGCUAAAACACCGCACAUCACAUUUAUGUGAUCAUUUGGGACAAUGUCCGCUUCCACAGAACAAACCAAAUCAGAGAGUGGUUCACCACCAACAGUGACCACUUUUUAAACGUCUGUCUGCCACCCUACUCCCCUUUCCUGAACCCUGUAGAGGAGUUCUUCUCAUCGUGGAGAUGGAAGGUUUAUGACAGACAACCAUACACAAGAGAGAACCUCCUAAGGGCAAUGGAGCUGGCCUGUGUUGACAUCCCAGCGGAGGCCUUCCAAGGAUGGAUUCGCCAUUCCAGGGCGUUUUUCCCACGGUGCCUGGCGAGAGACAAUAUAGCCUGCGAUGUGGAUGCAGCUCAGCGACAUGAUGCCGCACAGUGAUUGUGGUGUGUGUGUGGUAUGAAUAAAGUAAAUAAAAAAACUUCACACCCUGAUCAUGUUUUCAAGAGUACUGUUGUGUGCAAUAGAUUCUGUUUUUGCAUUGAGUUGUGUUACAGUAGUGUACGUACAUGCAGGAUUUUCUAUAGAUUUAUACUCUUCAUAUGAAACUCACAAAUCUAAAUGCCUAAUCCUCUGCAGAGAUCUACGACGAUCUGUUACUGUAUAGUUUCGAAAAAUAUGCAUUGGCAGUUAUGAAACGAAGAAGCUUCUCACAAAUUGAGCAUUGUGUUUUCAAUUGUUUUGCUGUAGUGUGUAAUGAUGUGUAUAGUAUUUACAUUUUUGAAAGCUUCGAGCUGCUCUUUUGGUGUGAAAGUUUGAGUUUUGCAGUGGGAAGGUGUGGUUGUGUUUAUGUAGCUUUAGAAAAGGGUGUUGUGUUUAGACAUUGGGGAACAUGGUGGGAACGUUUGUGAAAUGUGUUUUAGCAUUUGAGAAAAACUGUAAUUCAGAUCAAACUGAGGUUAUUGUACUCAGCCCUGAAAAUCUUAGAAAUAUGGUAUCUAAGAAGAUUCUUACUCUGGAUGGCAUUACCUUGGCCUCCAGUAAUGCUGUGAGGAACCUUGGAGUCAUUUUUGACCAGGACAUGUCCUUCAACGCACUUAUUAAACAAAUAUGUAGGACUGCUCUGUGUUGUCAGUGAUUACCUCCACAAAAGCACCCCGAAAGAUUUCUUACUUUUUUUUUUUGACAAUAUUUGCUGUUUGUGUGGCACACUACAAAAAAUAUAAUAACCAUACAGAACUUGGUUGAGAUGUAAUAUUUUAACAACAAAAGUAUAGGUAUCUCUCCUUCCAAAAAAUGGUUUGUUCCAGCUCGCCUCUCCCCCACUCUAGCGCACUUUCUGCCAGAGCAAUGGUGGCUAAAACGCAGCGGAGUAGAGGUGUGAGUGCCUGGCUUAAAACAGGACAUAUUAGCUGCAUUUAACCUUCAGUUACUCUUUAUAUAGUUGGUAGGAGUCAGACCAUAUUUCUCUUUAGCUGAAAAACAUUACACCAGGUAACCUGCAGUGUUGAAAACGUGUUUUCCAAUGAUGUUUGCUACCCUACAAUCCGUCCUACUCUGUAGUAAAUUCAGCGACAUUUGACCGUCCUGUUGCUCCCAUUGAAAUGUAUACAGCCUAUUUAAAAUCUAAAACUUCAAAUUGUCUGUAGCCUGCUGUUGUUACCACUGUCCUGUUUGAAAUGGAUACUAACUAGCUAACUGACUGAAUGCCCAUUAACCUUAUAACUCCUGUUGUGUGUGCGUUUGUGUAGAGAGAGACAGCCAAGUUCAUAAUGGAUAUAAGGAAGUUUUUUCAAAAACAGGAGCCACAUUCAGGUAAGUGUAAGAACAAAUGAUCCAUCAAUAAAGGAUAACGUUGGAUCAGUGUUUCAAUAUUUUAUAUCUUUUAUUAGAUGUUCAUGUGGUUUGGUUAUUUGCCUUUUGG
rnacentral:lncRNA from 1 species